rnacentral:rRNA from 1 species
GAAAGAUGGUUCUGCUAUCACUCUUGGAUGGACCUGCGGUGCAUUAGCUAGUUGGUAAGGUAACGGCUUACCAAGGCAAUGAUGCAUAGCCGAGUUGAGAGACUGAUCGGCCACAUUGGGACUGAGACACGGCCCAAACUCCUACGGGAGGCAGCAGUAGGGAAUCUUCCACAAUGGACGAAAGUCUGAUGGAGCAACGCCGCGUGAGUGAAGAAGGGUUUCGGCUCGUAAAGCUCUGUUGGUAGUGAAGAAAGAUAGAGGUAGUAACUGGCCUUUAUUUGACGGUAAUUACUUAGAAAGUCACGGCUAACUACGUGCCAGCAGCCGCGGUAAUACGUAGGUGGCAAGCGUUGUCCGGAUUUAUUGGGCGUAAAGCGAGUGCAGGCGGUUCAAUAAGUCUGAUGUGAAAGCCUUCGGCUCAACCGGAGAAUUGCAUCAGAAACUGUUGAACUUGAGUGCAGAAGAGGAGAGUGGAACUCCAUGUGUAGCGGUGGAAUGCGUAGAUAUAUGGAAGAACACCAGUGGCGAAGGCGGCUCUCUGGUCUGCAACUGACGCUGAGGCUCGAAAGCAUGGGUAGCGAACAGGAUUAGAUACCCUGGUAGUCCAUGCCGUAAACGAUGAGUGCUAAGUGUUGGGAGGUUUCCGCCUCUCA